rnacentral:lncRNA from 1 species
CCUGCCAUCUGUUUUGCUCUGUCUGAGCUUUUUCCAGUUCAUAUCCUUCCUGAAGAUGAGCUCUGGGCCCACAAUAGACCUUUGUGAGGAUUGGGCCAGAGGUGGCUGAAUGAGGUUCUGGGAAGCAUUAAAAGCCCCAGGCAAAUGAACAGGUAUCCAAGGACAUCUCCAUGCGGCUGCACAAGGAGCUCGAGGUGGUGGAGAAGAAGCGGGGCACGGCUGGAGGAGGAGAACGAGGAGCUUCGGCAGCGGCUCAUUGAGACCGAGCUGGCCAAGCAGGUGCUACAGACGGAGCUAGAACGGCCAAGAGAGCAUUCCUUGAAGAAAAGAGGAACCCGCUCCCUGGGGAAGACAGACAAGAAGUCUUCUGCACAGGUACUGCCUGGGAGCCCUGCAGGCAGGUCAUAGUCUGAAGGCCUCAGCCUAACUUCAUGUGGCCAGGGGAGUUCCCAAAGAUGCUCAGCCCUCCCCAACUUCUACCCUGUCCUUCGCUUGUUCAUUUUUUUGGCUUCACUGCCCACUGCACUUCCCAGAACCACAGUCUGAGCCCGGGGUUCUUAUAUGUUCAGGCUUCCUUGGGCCCCAGACUUUCUGAUGACAAACAAAUCCGAAGGUCCAGGGUCGGAACCUUGACUUUACCACUUGAUUGCCUUAUGAUUGGGUUGAGUCACUUGAGCUUUCUGGCUUCAGUUUCCUCAUCAAUCCCUAUCUUGUGGGCCUAUUGCAAGAAUUUGAUAAAGUGAUGCAUGUUGCAGAGGCAAAGCACAGAAUAGCAUUAUCUGCUGGGUCCUAAGGGAGGCUGGGGUACCAAGGACUUUUAUACAUUAUCUCUUUUAAUCCUAUCCAUGGCUGCCUGAGAAAGGCAGUUAUUUCCACACAUCUUAUGUGGUAGAAGGGGCUAGGGAUGUAGCUCGGUGAUAGCAGGCACAAAGCCCUGGGUUCAAGCUCUAACACAUUAAAAAAUAAAGGAAUGGUGGUAGUAGCACCAGCAGCAGUCAUCUGCUCUCAAACUCCAGCCUGUGGGUGCUGUUCCAUCCUUGCUACAAUAUCUGGGCAUGGU